AUUGAACGCUGGCGGCAGGCCUAACACAUGCAAGUCGAGCGGAGCGGCGGACGGGUGAGUAAUGUCUAGGAAUCUGCCUGGUAGUGGGGGAUAACGUCCGGAAAAGGGCGCUAAUACAGCAUACUAUCAGAUGAGCCUAGGUCGGAUUAGCUAGUUGGUGGGGUAAAGGCCUACAAAGGCGACGAUCCGUAACUGGUCUGAGAGGAUGAUCAGUCACACUGGAACUGAGACACGGGCCAGACUCCUACGGGAGGCAGCAGUGGGGAAUAUUGGACAAUGGGCGAAAGCCUGAUGCAGCCAUGCCGCGUGUGUGAAGAAGGUCUUCGGGUUGUAAAGCACUUUCAGCGGGGAGGCGUUACCCGCAGAAGAAGCACCGGCUAACUCCGUGCCAGCAGCCGCGGUAAUAC
rnacentral:rRNA from 1 species